rnacentral:rRNA from 1 species
UACGUAGGGUCCGAGCGUUAAUCGGAAUUACUGGGCGUAAAGCGUGCGCAGGCGGUUUUGUAAGCCAGAUGUGAAAUCCCCGGGCUUAACUUGGGAACUGCAUUUGGGACUGCAAAGCUGGAGUACGGCAGAGGGAGGUGGAAUUCCACGUGUAGCAGUGAAAUGCGUAGAGAUGUGGAGGAACACCGAUGGCGAAGGCAGCCCCCUGGGUCAAGACUGACGCUCAUGCACGAAAGCGUGGGGAGCAAACAGG